rnacentral:rRNA from 1 species
GCAGCCGCGGUAAUGCCAGCAGAGUUUGAUCCUGGCUCAGAGCGAACGCUGGCGGCAGGCUUAACACAUGCAAGUCGAGCGGGCCCUUCGGGGUCAGCGGCAGACGGGUGAGUAACACGUGGGAACGUACCCUUUGGUUCGGAAUAACGCUGGGAAACUAGCGCUAAUACCGGAUACGCCCUUUUUGGGGAAAGGCUUGCUGCCGAAGGAUCGGCCCGCGUCUGAUUAACUAGUUGGUGGGGUAAUGGCCUACCAAGGCGACGAUCAGUAGCUGGUCUGAGAGGAUGAUCAGCCACACUGGGACUGAGACACGGCCCAGACUCCUACGGGAGGCAGCAGUGGGGAAUCUUGCGCAAUGGGCGAAAGCCUGACGCAGCCAUGCCGCGUGAAUGAUGAAGGUCUUAGGAUUGUAAAAUUCUUUCACCGGGGACGAUAAUGACGGUACCCGGAGAAGAAGCCCCGGCUAACUUCGUGCCAGCAGCCGCGGUAAU